UGGGGAAUCUUGCGCAAUGGACGAAGGUCUGACGCAGCGACGCCGCGUGGGUGAUGAAGGCCUUCGGGUUGUAAAGCCCUGUGGGGAGGGACGAAUAAGUUGCGGCUAAUACCCGCAGCGCUGACAGUACCUCCUUAGCAAGCACCGGCUAACUCCGUCCCAGCAGCCGCGGUAAGACAGAGGGUGCAAACGUUGUUCGGAAUUACUGGGCGUAAAGCGCGUGUAGGCGGCUAUGCAAGUCGGAUGUGAAAGCCCUCGGCUCAACCGGGGAAGUGCACCCGAAACUGCAAAGCUAGAGUCUCGGAGAGGAUCGUGGAAUUCUCGGUGUAGAGGUGAAAUUCGUAGAUAUCGAGAGGAACACCGGUGGCGAAGGCGGCGAUCUGGACGAUGACUGACGCUGAGACGCGAAAGCGUGGGGAGCAAA
rnacentral:rRNA from 1 species